GGAGAUGUGAACUAGCUUUGUUUUGUUUGAAAAUACUUUGAAAGUCAACGAGAAGUGCCGUCACCCAACAUCAAUUAGAGCACUUUUAACUGACUUUAGAGAGAGUG